UGGGAUAUAGCUUAGUUGGUAGAGUACUUGCCUCGAAUGCACAAGGCCCUGAGUUCAAUCCCUGGCAUCACAA
rnacentral:tRNA from 1 species